rnacentral:lncRNA from 1 species
UUUUUUGUUUUUUUUUUUUUUGCAAUAUAUUUCUACCAUAGGUGACCAUGUCUACCAAUUCAUCAUCAAGGUGAGAAACCAUGAGUCAGAACUUGAUCACGGAGCUUUACUCUUGUAGAUCAAAAUUUACUUAGACUUGGGGUGAGGUAGCAUGAAAACAAUUGUCUACAGUGAAUUACAAUUACUAUUUCUUAAGUCACUUUUCUCUGACCAAAGCAGCUCAGGAAAUUUCCAGAGAAGUGGGAUAUAGCUUCUUCAACUUUAGAAACCUUUACUCUCAAGUGGUUUUCUUUUUAAAGUAACAAGCACAUGAAAAAUAUGAUGAAACAUUUAUACUAAUAUGUAGCUGUAGAGAAACACAAUUGCAAGCUUUCAGAUAAGUGAAGAUCUGACUUUAUCAAAAUAAAGCUUAAGUGGAGUCAUUCAGCUACAGGAAACCCAUUUGCUAAACCCCACAUCUAGAUGCACGGUCUGACAGCAGGAAUGAACAUUUAAAAUGGAAUUUAUCCCAGAACAUUUGGGAAGUGUAAUUACCCGAUCUGUAGCUAGGAAGCAGGCUCACAGUUUCCCAAAUAACAAGUCGUUUUUAAUAGUGAAGAUUUCAGGAAGUCUAGAAAGUGUAAAGGGACCUGAAAAAAAGAAAGAUACACUGAACUCCUAAGUUCAAGGAGUUUCCUUAUCAUAAGCUCCAGAUGUCUUCAUUCUCAGUCCUGAGACUUGCUCAUCUCUUUGUGCUAUCACAUCAGGACGAAGACUGGAAUAAGUUUAUAGAGAAAAGAAGUGCCAGAGUAAUGGCUCUGCAGCCAGAUAAUGCAGAGAUAGCAAGCCAUGUUCACGGUGCAAAAGGACAGGAGUCUUCUAAAAUAGGGAUUCUAAUCCCACUGGGCUUCUCUGUGUGUGAAUUUAACCUUUAGAAUUAGAAGUUUUGAACCCCUGGAAAUGAACUAAUGCUUUGUGUAAACUACAGAAAACAGAUGGGAGUGUGUUCCAGGCAGCAUAUUUAAAUACAAAGACCAUUUUUGUACCUGCAAAAGCUGCUGUGCUGCCUCCAAGGAUAAAUCCAUGAGUUUAACAAAAUCAAAUGAAGCUCCCCCACUACAAGGCUCAAAUUCAGAGGAUACAAGUACUUCUGUGAUAAUGUGAAUGUUUGGAAAGCACAGAAACAAGAAGGGGAUACUUGGUCUGCCAUCAAGAACAGGUGCUUUUCAGUCUCAGAGCGUUCAACAGGAUCUUCAUGGAGCUACGAAAAAAUUUUAUGUUGCCUCAUCACCAAAUUACAGAUUUGGGUUUUCAGUACUGACGAUCAGCAACAGAAAAUAGCUAGCUACUUCAAAGAGCAUGGAGUUCAGUAACUUUUGUUCAUUUUUGUAUUUAAAAGGCACCAUUUCAGAGAGGUGAAAAAAAUCAUGCUUUCUUAGGUUAUAAUUUUUAAACUUCUUAUUGUGGCAAAAUAUACCUAAGAUAUAUUAUCUCAACCACUGUUAAGUGUGCAAUUCACGGGUCUCAAGUCUAUUCAUAUUGUGCAACCACCACCCACAGCACUUUUCGUUUUGUAAAACUGAAACUCUAUACCCA